UAUUAAGGAUGCCAUUCUAAGUGUGCCUG
rnacentral:piRNA from 1 species